UCCACGUUUUCCCUUUGGUUCUUCCACCAAGAACACUCCUUUCCCUUUUCCCCACUGGUUAAUGUUAUAUUUCCCCUCCCUUUAGCCUUCUCCCGAUUGUACCCUCGAAUGCUAAACCCUCCUACCCCUAUGCAGUAAAAGAAUCCUCACCCCGCCCUUCGGGGCUCUCGGAAUCUGCCUCCCUUCUGCUUCGUUGUCUCCCUGUUUGCCCCUUCUGUGACCCUUCAAUAAACGAGCAGGAUUUCAGCAGCCCGAGUGUCCCUCCCGUUCUUCUGGUGGACCCUCAGAUGUACCAGCUAUCCGAGCUUCGUGCCGAGUAGCUAAAAGCCCCCAUGGCUCGGCAGUAAAGGAAAACUGUAUGAGAAAGGGUCACAAAGCAACAACUCAACAACAGAAGUGUUGGCUUUCAAAUUAUUACCUGGAGAGACAGGAUAGGAGAAAUAAAACAUUUGACUUACCAACUUUUUAGAUCAAAAGUCCUACAGAAUAAGGAAUCUGAAUGGAUGAUUUUAGAAUUUGUACUGCGGAAUAGAACUAAAAAAAACCCUCAAACCACAAACCAAUGUCAGUAGCUCUUCUGAGACAUUAAGGUGCCUGUCUCUCACAAGGGAUCCUUCAUGUACAGUCAAGCUCACAAAUAGCUUCAUGGGAUAUGGUACAUUAAACUGAAAAAAC